GCAUUCUUAAUUUAAUUGGUUAAAAUAAUAAUUUACGGAAUUAUAUAUAUAGGUUCAAUUCCUAUAGAAUGUU
rnacentral:tRNA from 2 species